rnacentral:lncRNA from 1 species
AUGAGCAAGAGUGUCUCAGGAACGGAAUGCAACAAAUGCUCUGGGGACCGAAGUUCCAUCUUAGGAGCUUCAGGCGGUUGCAAAGUUUCAGAGCAAGCAGCCCUGCACUUUGUGUGCGGGCACGUGCGGGCGACGCUGUGCAGCUCGCACGCCGCCAGCCGAGGCGGUAAGGGGCCCGCGGGGAGAAGCCGGCCCGGCCGCCCGCACAGACCCAGCGCAGUUCCCACCGGAGAGACGGCAGGCGAGGCGAGGCGAGGCGAGGCGAGGCGAAGCGGAGGGCCGGGGGGCGGGGGUUGCAGAAGGAGGGCAGCGGGCCGCAGGGCCACGGGCUGCGCGCGUCGGCUCCGCAGGCGUCCGCUCGGGUGCUCGCACGCGGGGCGGCGCGGAGGGCGCGCUUCCCUCCGGCCACGCUGCACGCGGUUUCGGCGCGGCCCCCGCCCGCAGGUCGCGGAGGAGGUCGCGGAGGAGGUCGCGGGCCGGCCGCGGUGCCCCGGGCCCCGGAGCUGCACCCCGCCCCGCCCCGCCCCUGCGCUCCCCUCCGUGGCCCGGCCCGGCACCGGGACGCAGCCCUCGCCACCUGGCGGGAAGCGCGGGCCCCCACGCCCCCUCGGCCUCCCGACCCAGUUCCGGCCGGCGCGCCACCCGCUCCUCGCGCCGGGCCGCCGCCGCAGCCCCACUCACCUCGCCGCCCGGCAGCGCUCGGGCUCGGGCUCGGGCUCGGGCUCGGGCUCGGGCUCGGGUCCCGGCGGCGGCGGCGGCGGCUCCUCCAUGGCGGCGGCGGCGGGCGUGACGGCGAAGGCGGGCGGGGGGACCAGCUCGGCGGCGGCGGCGGCUUCUCUCAUCCGUGCACGGGGCCUCGCAUGGCCGCGGCGGGCGGCAAGCUGCAGCCUGGCGCGGGGCACCGGAGCCCCGGAGUGCGGGAGUGACUCGGCUCCGCCUCCGCCUCUAGCCCGCCGCAGGAGCCGCUCGCGCCGCGGCCAUCUUGGAAACGGCGACCGGCCAGCGCCGGGCUACGGCGGGCGGCGAGGGACAAGCCUCGGAGGGCGGCGGCGGGCGCGGCGGCGGCGGCGGCGGCGGCGGCGGGCGGGGAGCCCGCGAAGGGAGGAGCGCGGGGAAGGGCCCCGGGGGCCGGCGGCGUGGGCGAGCGAGGGGGCGGCCCGGGACGCACGUCGGGGCCCCUCGCCCCGGGGUCGCGCCCCGCCGCGCUCGGCUGGUUUCGCUGGGGGCGGGGGGCGGGGGAAGCUGUGCGCGCGGUGCUCCCGGCGGCGGGCGGCGGCUGCAGCAGGCUCCGCAGUAGGCGCUCGCUCCCCGCUCCCCGCUCCCCGCGCGGGCCUGCCGGGGGCCCUGGGCACCCACCCGCGACCCUCGGGUCUCGGGAGACACAGGACCCCGAGGCUACCCUCCUCCUCCAGCGGGCGGGAGCGAACGCGGAUCUAA